rnacentral:rRNA from 1 species
UACGGAGGGAUGCAAGCGUUAUCCGGAUUUAUUGGGUUUAAAGGGUGCGUAGGCGGAUGUGUAAGUCAGCGGUGAAACUCACAGGCUCAACCUGUGCUGUGCCGUUGAAACUGUGUAUCUGGAAUGCGGAUGCUGUGGGAGGAAUGUGUAGUGUAGCGGUGAAAUGCAUAGAUAUUACACAGAACACCGAUUGCGAAGGCAUCUCACAAAGCCGUUAUUGACGCUGAGGCCGAAAGUGUGGGGGAU